rnacentral:rRNA from 1 species
ACGGGGCGCACGAGGCGCGAAAACUUUGCAAUGCGGGAAACCGUGACAAGGGAACUCUGAGUGCGCGUNAAAUCGGGCUGUCCAUCGGUUUAAAUAACCGGUGAAGAAAGGGCCGGGCAAGACCGGUGCCAGCCGCCGCGGUAAUACCGGCGGCUCGAGUGGUGGCCACUAUUACUGGGCUUAAAGCGUUCGUAGCUGGUUUGUUAAGUCUCUGGGGAAAUCUUCCGGCUUAACCGGAAGGCGUCUCAGGGAUACUGGCAGACUAGGGACCGGGAGAAGUGAGAGGUACUCCAGGGGUAGGAGUGAAACCGUGUAAUCCUUGGGGGACCACCUGUGGCGAAGGCGUCUCACCAGAACGGCUCCGACAGUGAGGGACGAAAGCUGGGGGAGCAAACCGGAUUAGAUACCCGGGUAGUCCCAGCUGUAAACGAUGCGCGUUAGGUGUAUCGGUGACCACGAGUCACCGAGGUGCCGAAGAGAAAUCGUGAAACGUGCCGCCUGGGAAGUACGGUCGCAAGGCUGAAACUUAAAGGAAUUGGCGGGGGAGCACCACAACGGGUGGAGCCUGCCGUUUAAUCGGACUCAACGCCGGGAAACUCACCAGUUAAGACAGCUGAAUGAUAGUCGGGCUGAAGACUCUACUUGACUAGCUGAGAGGAGGUGCAUUGCCGUCGUCAGUUAGUACUGUGAAGCAUCCUGUUAAGUCAGGCAACGAGCCAGACCCACGCCAACAGUUGCUAGCUCGUCCUCCGGGAUGGUGGGGACACUGUUGGGACCGCCUCUGCUAAAGAGGAGGAAGGAAUGGGCAACGGUAGGUCAGCAUGCCCCGAAUUAUCCGGGCUACACGCGGGCUACAAUGGGUGGGACAAUGGGUAUCGACACCGAAAGGUGAAGGCAAUCUCCUAAACCCAUCCUUAGUUCGGAUUGUGGGCUGCAACUCGCCCACAUGAAGCUGGAAUCCGUAGUAAUCGUGUCUCAAAAUGGCACGGUGAAUAUGUCCCUGCUCCUUGCACACACCG